GGGGAUAUAGUUUAACGGCAAAACGGUAGGCUAGUCACCUUGCAGUCCGGGGUUCAACUCCCCGUGUCUCCACCA
rnacentral:tRNA from 1 species